CGGGAGAUGGGAAUCCAGCACCUCUCGGGACCCGCAGAGUUCCUAACCAGAUUAUACUCCGUUAUAGGUUAUUACAAGACAUUGGGUAUAAUUCCCUGUGCUAUACAGUUAAGAACUCCUGACCUCGAGCACAGGGGAGUAUACUUACCCAGAACUGCAAGCCAUGGGAGUUUAAUGCAACAGAAAGAACAUGGGAUAUGGUGUCAGAAGACC